AGCGUGAGGGGAAGAACGGCUCGCCCGCCCGCCCGGCCUCCCGCCGUCGCUCCCUGCCUCCCUCCCUAGGAAUCCCAAGCGGCGAAGGAGCGGCACCCGCAGUGUGAGGCUCCCCCUGGCUGUUUGGAGCGGGCUGAGCCAGAGGAGGGGGGAAGCCCAAGAAGCUGCAAAGAGCAGCCGCCGCCGCUUCAUCCUGCGGCACCAGGAGGCAGAGAGAGCGAGCGGGAGCGCGCCGGAGAAGAAGCCCAUGUGCGCAGAUGGCAGUAUGGAAACCAAAUACAAACACUGGCAGAAGUUAUUUUUGCUCUCUAUGAGAAAAUGAAGAAAGUGUACACAUGACUAGGCUCUGGAACUUGAGAAACCACAGGAAUGAAGUGCACUUUACUUUCAAAAAUGACUGUGGGGGGAAAUCUUUCAUCCUGCCUUCUGACAAAAGUGCUUUGUAAUCCGGCUUGUCUAGCUGCAAUGGUGAAGGAUUUUUAGUUAACGGAAGCUGUAAAAUCUCUCACCAGGAAGUAUUAUUUACUUGGAACGGGUUGCAUUUGACAUCAUGGUGAAAGUGUCUCUUGGUCAAGAAUUUUUAGCUGAUCAUCGGUCGCUCAGUAGUCAGUGUAGAUUCUGUUUUCUCAAUCAGCAGCUACAUCUGGCUACUGGGUCUCUGAGGGCAUCUUGUAGCAUCUUGUUCACUAUACUUCAUUGAUGGCUGUUUGGAUACCUUGAACUGCUGUUAUUUUUCCAAGAUGAAAAGAAAAAUCAGUAAUUCAGGGGGGAGAAAAAGGAAAGAGGUGAGGAGAAGGAGAUGUUCUCCCUUCUCCAUAUGAAAGCCAUAAACUCACUACUCUAAAAGGUGGAUCAUU